GCUUCGGCAGAUUUAGAUUGUUUCUAGUGGCGGACGGGUGAGUAACGCGUGGGUAACCUGCCUUAUACAGGGGGAUAACAGUCAGAAAUGACUGCUAAUACCGCAUAAGCGCACAGGACCGCAUGGUCCGGUGUGAAAAACUCCGGUGGUAUAAGAUGGACCCGCGUUGGAUUAGCUGGUUGGUGAGGUAACGGCCCACCAAGGCGACGAUCCAUAGCCGGCCUGAGAGGGUGAACGGCCACAUUGGGACUGAGACACGGCCCAGACUCCUACGGGAGGCAGCAGUGGGGAAUAUUGCACAAUGGGGGAAACCCUGAUGCAGCGACGCCGCGUGAAGGAAGAAGUAUCUCGGUAUGUAAACUUCUAUCAGCAGGGAAGAAAAUGACGGUACCUGACUAAGAAGCCCCGGCUAACUACGUGCCAGCAGCCGCGGUAAUACGUAGGGGGCAAGCGUUAUCCGGAUUUACUGGGUGUAAAGGGAGCGUAGACGGAUGGACAAGUCUGAUGUGAAAGGCUGGGGCUCAACCCCGGGACUGCAUUGGAAACUGCCCGUCUUGAGUGCCGGAGAGGUAAGCGGAAUUCCUAGUGUAGCGGUGAAAUGCGUAGAUAUUAGGAGGAACACCAGUGGCGAAGGCGGCUUACUGGA
rnacentral:rRNA from 1 species